rnacentral:misc_RNA from 1 species
GAUUUAUAGUGGGAGUACAUUCAAAAGAACCUGUCAUGUGCUUCUCCAAAAUCUAUAACCUAAAGAGAUUUUUUAAAAUUGGCAAGAAAAAGCAUUACCUGAUUUAACAAAAUUAAAAGAGGCAACUGCAGUAGUUUAAGAUUCCAGCUGUGACAGCAAAUCCCUUAGAGACUACACUUCUUCAUUGGAGAGGAUCCCAGUGGUAUUUGUUUCUUUAGAACAAUCCACUGUCUCAGAUGUAUUUGCUUGAGGUCUUGCUAAUCCCAUUCGUUUACCACCACGUCUUUUAUUUGGAUGGCCAUGGAGUUUCCAGCAAUACUCCUUUUUAUGCCUGGAUUUCCCACAUUUGUUACAGUGUAAAUGAUCCUUGUCUGAUGGACCAUUAUAUGAGGCAGGUGACUGUUCUCAAGAAGUAGCAGCAGCUAACACAGCCUUGUCAGUAGGUAUAGAAUGGAUCAUGACACUUUUACAACUUUCUUCCUGUUGUACAUAGUAUAGGUUGGCUGUGGCCGGAAAAAAUCAAUGGAAAAUGCUUCACGCGCCAGCGCGUGGGAAUGAUGCCAGAACUUACAGCAGCGCGUGGGGUCACAUGUCACCAGACGAUGGCGAAUCUCCAAGGACAGGCUGAUCGCUGGCUGGUUGUCCUUCUGAGGUAGGCGUACUUCAACUUCCCUUGCAGACAUCACCUAGAAGCUUGACCCAAGAAAAC